rnacentral:SRP_RNA from 1 species
GUUCAGGCCCCUCGCAAUGAGGACGAACUGAAUUCCGCCAGGACGAAAGUAGCAACGGUAGGUAUCAGAUUCAUGUGCCGAAGUAAGCUUGUUCCAA